AAGGAAAAAAAUCAAGACCAAUUUGUCCGGCAAAAGCGAUGAUGUUUCCUCUAAACAAUUCAGCUUCACUAGAGUUUGUAGAUGUUGAUGCAUCUCAAUUUCAAGGACACGAUCUUCAACAUUUUUUUUCUGAAAAAACUAUAACUUCAAAUAUAGAGUUUUUUGCUCUCUAAAUAUAAAUUUCAAAACUUCAAAUUUGAAGUUUUUACACGAUCUUCAACAUUUACAACGUAUUUUCAGUAUGUUUUCAAUCUUACCAAAUUUUCAACUCACUCACUCGCAUUUAGUUAAAAAUACGGUAUUGCUAGCAAUCAUUGUAUGUCUUUUAAUAAUUAACUCUGGAAUUAAGGUUGCGUCUACCGAAAACUUUAGAUAAUUUAUUAUAAUUCUGUAUAUGUUGGAUGAAUAAGUAAGUAAAUAAAACCAAUAAACUGAUGAGAUUUGAAUUGUAAUUACUACUUGGAAUCUUGACAAAAACCAUAUCAUAAACUGGUCCAUACAUCUAUUAUAUAAAGUUGGAUGUGGUCCCUUUUAGUUAUAGGUGAUAGCCAAGUUGAAAGGUGGUUGUAUGGAACAAAAGUCCAGAAAUGUAACUGGGAUCUUUCUUAAUUAGUAUGAGCUAGACUGGAGACACAAGUCAUCGCACUGGUUCUUCUAUACCUCCUCCCUUUGUUUGUUUUAACACAAUCUUAUAAAACGCGUCCUUAUCUUAUUUGUUUUUUAGUUUUGCUUAAAUUAUAAGGACAGUUUUAAUUUGGAUUGUACUAUGACCAUACCAUAAAAAUUCAUGUGAUCUGUAUUGGCCACAUUCACUUAAAUAUAAUUAUGUUAUUGACCUUAUGGUCCAGUUUUCCCUUCAUUUAUGAAUUUACAUUGUACAUAAUGCCAUCGUUUUAAAUAUAUGUGACAUGUGCCUACAUAUAUAGGUUAAAUGUUAUUGAACUUUCACGGCUAGCUGAAGUUCUUUUACUUUAUAUACAUACAAUCUAAGGAAGAUCAGAUCGUACUUGUUUAAUGGUUAGUGUAUAGUAUUGAAGUGGGAGAAAGGAAGUCAAAUAAAAGUUUUAGGCCAGAUCAAAUUUGAAAGGAGGAUCAAGACGUCAUGGUUUGAAACACAAGGGUCACGGUUGAAGAUCCCCUCGUUGUUCGGUAACACCACCGUGUAGCUUGUGUACGAAUCUUAUUGUAAUCUGAGCUUUUCAGUAGUUUUUUUCUUUCUAAAUGACUAGUUGUUUAGAUAUACAAGUAGUGUUAUUGUGAGUCUUACACAGAGUGUAACUAUACUAGUAUGAAUAAUUGGUAUAUUAUUCGGAUAUCUCCAUGUUAUCGUUAUGUGUUUUUUUCGAGAACAAUGUUAUCGUUGUGUUUAUAGGUCUUAAUCUCUAUCUUGUGAAAGAAUACUUUAUCUAAUAGUUGUAAAAACACGGUACAUAUUAGAAAAUAUAAGCUCCACAAUGUGUAAGUUAUUGUAAAUGAGGGUCUUGUUCAGUUGUUGUUUUCAUCAUGAUAGUAACAGGUGAUAGUGAGAGCGAUAACAACUAAUGAUAUAUUAUUAUGUUUUGCUUUUCCUAUACACUGAUUCUUUUUUUUUCAAACUUCGACACUGAUGCAACAUACAAAUCUUUGUCAUUGUCGUUGUCAACAGAGAACAAACAUAAGGUUUAGAUUCUCUUUCAAAUUAUAAGCUAUACAAAGUGUGCAUGACGCAUCUCCCUCUCUCCAAACUAAAUAAUUAUAGUAACACUAAUCUCUUCUUGAAUAUUUGGGGGCAUAUUUUUCUCUAAUAGAACAAGCACUACGACAUUAAACCCAUCUUAUAUUCCAAAAACCAUUUUAUGUUGCAUUCAGGCAAACUUCUGCUUAUCUCCCAUGAUAUAUUUAUAAAACAAACUCUUGAAUAUAUAUAGAAAAUAACUCGAGAUGUGUUUUAUCCAAAAACAGAACAAGGACAUUAUAUAGACAAUAUUACAUUGUGCGAUAUCGACAUCAUACCAAACGUAUAUAUAUUCUAGAGAAGCCAAAACCAGCAGGCCCCCUCUUACUUGCCCUUUUCUAACCAAAAACGUUAUCCUUAUUUUAAUUACAAGGAGCCAUUUCUUCAUCUUUUUCAAAAUAUUAAUUGAUUUUACAUUUGACAAACUUGUUCAGAUUAAAAAGCCUACGAAGGGAAAAGAAGAAAGCCACCCACCCUAUCAAAAUGGAUACAAACAGAAAGAUAAUAUUUAUUUAUACGGUUUCAUGGAUCCACUUUCUCUCAGCUAUGUAAUAUUUUAAUCAAUCUCAUAUAAAAAAAAACAUUUCCCCCACUCCAUAUUUCUCCUUCUUCUUCCACAAGUCACAAACCAUACCAACAAACAAACAACAUAGCCAAACCCUCUUAAAACGAAAAAAAAAUGGGAAGAGACUGGUCUUGGCUCGGUGUAGGAGGCAAGAAGAAAUCCUCAAGCAAGUCAAAGAAAGACAUCAAAGCAACUCCACCGUCUUCUUCCCCAUCCAGAAACACCGCAACGGCGGCGGGAUGCAUGAGUGGUGUCUUUAACAUUUUCGACUUGCAACAUUUACAGUUCCCCAUUAACCAUCACCAUCUUCAUCUCCCCAAAGGUGUAGAUGCUGAAGAGACUCCAUUUUCACCUAAACGAAAAGAUGGAAACCUCAAUAUAUCUAUGGGUAUUAAAAUCAAGACCAAACCACAAGCAAGAUCAUCAUCAUCAUCAUCAUCGUCUCUUGCAGCCACUGAAUCUUACUCUCCGAGUGUAAAGACACCAACUUUGGUCGCUAGGCUCAUGGGUCUUGAUCUUGUUCCUGACAACUACACAUCAUCUCCUACUCCAUCUUCUUCUUCUUCUUCUCACACCAACAAACACAGACACUACUCUCUCCAAAGAAACUCUGUCGACGGAGGCACACGAUCUCUUCCCGAGACGCCGAGGAUUUCACUCGGAAGAAGAUCCGUCGACGUCAACUCUUACCAACACCAACGUUCUUCACUACACGUGGAGGAUAAAGAGAAUAGGAGUCCUCGAGAUUACGCUAGGAAGAUAGUGAUGCAGCUGAAGGAGAACGUGAGCCGGAGAAGAAGAAUGGGAACUGAUAUUACAAACAAAGAACAACGAGCACGUGAGGUUCACGAGCCCAAGAAAGCUUCUAAGAUUACAAACGUUGCUCCCAAGGUUCGAGACGAGCCCAGGUUACAAACAGUGCAAGAAGAGCUACAAGGAACAGAGCAAGGCGAAAAACAGAGCAAGUCUGCAACGAAACGUAAGAAAGCUGAGAACUUUGAGUCGAGAUUAGUGAAGCCGACACAGACAAUGCAGGAGAAGCCCUUUGGUCGAUCACCAGCAACAACUAACAUCGUGAAGAGUAAAGAUUCAUCAAAGCUCAGAGAACCGCAAUCAUCAAGAAACAGAGCAUCAACAGAGUUCACUACUUUUCAGAGACAAUCGCAAACGCACGUUGCACCAAUCGCCAAACGCGCAUUGGUUAUCAAAGAUGUUGAUGUUCUAGUGGCCGGAGAGUUCCCGGAGACGGCGACACAGUCGGAGCUGGCGUUUGAAGGCGAAGGAAUCGUGACGGAGCUUGAGAGAGGAAUCUUCGAAACCCUCGUGGCUGAAACGACGACGGAUUACUACGACACGUGGAGCGAAAACGGCGCCGUUUAAGAGAAACGAUGAUGUCAGUGGCACGUGGGGAGUUCACGUGACGAGAUACCCUGGGACCCACCACGACUCGUCCUCUUUGUUUCGCGAGAGGAGUUUGAGGUAUCCACGUGGGUAAACGUAUCCCACAUGGCAGCUACUAAUUGGCUGUUAUUUGUAUAGAGUUUGAUUAUAUUAAUUUUCAAAUUAUUUUGUAGCCGUUUAUAACCUAAAAUAAAAUAAUGUUUUUGAAAAUGUGGAGUGGUGUGGACUGGUAUGGUGCUGGUUAGAUAGAUCUGUCGAUUUCAGAUGUUUUUGUCCCCCGUGUAUUCCAACAUUUUGCAUAUGGUAUGGUAGACUAAAGAAUAGUAGUAUUCAUGAGUUUUUUGAAUAUUAUAUGUUUUUGAAACUUGAAAAUAUUAACAAUCAAGGGUCUAUGACUCUAUGGGAAAUAUUUGAAUUAAUUUCGUAGAUAGGUUCGGAUAGUCGUAUUCGUUUAAAAAAUACUAUACACCCUUCCUAAAGCAGCUUAUACUAUUAUUUGGGUCUUGACUCUUGUGACAAGAAACAUUUUGGGCAUAGAACUAUUUGUUGUUCGAAUUUUGUUUAUAAAACCAGUCUGGAUAUAUAUUUGACUCGAUUUAUCUCAUCUUUUGUUCGACCUGAUGUUUCUUAAUUUGUUAAAUCUAUUGACACUAUAUGGUAAAACCGAAAGCAUCCAAAUUAAUAAUAAAAAAAAUUAACAUACAGCCAUGAAGCAACAACUUUUCAAAAAGCCUUUCACGAUUAUGACGUUGGCGAUGAGUACAAAAACGUACGUAUAUUUCAAGAGGAAUCUCAUGUAUCUUUGUUAUCUUGCCCUGAGAUUUCGUGCAUCAGAGACCUUAAAUAAUUCUGACGAUUGUCCAAAAUAAUUAGGUUAAGGAACGUAAGUAGAAUAUUUCUUGGAAGCAUAUAUAUAUAUAUAUAUAUAUAUAUUUUUAAAGAGGAAAGAGAUAAAAGAAAAGUGGAAAGGAGAAGAAACCUUGUAAAGUUUAAAAUGACAAUACGAAAAUAUAGUUUGCAUGGACCCGAGACAUUUACGUGAAGACUGAAGCUACAUCUGUCGUAAUGAAGACACCAGUGGCAGUCACACCGCUCAUGCAAUGUAUAAUGCAUGGUGAAUAGUUUGAUAUAUCUAUACUAUACUAAAAGCAGCAUAUACUCAAAAUCUAAGCUGCCACGUCCUCAAAAAUAAUUGACCAAUGAGAACCAGUUAAACAGCCACGUCAGACAGGCUUCCCCGUGUUAAUUUCGUCUACCUGCAUCUUUAAAAGAAGCGACUUUAAGUUUUUUUUGCGUGUGUUUCAUUCAUGGGCUUGAUAUUAAGUUGUUGGAUCAAUUUUGAUCAAGACUGUAUUCAAUUGAUUAUUGGGCUGUAUACAAAUAUAGAUAGUCUUCUCUCGGAUACUCCACCGUUACAAUUAAAAUCCGUCGCCGCCGAAGUACUGAUUCUUUUCAUUUACCACCGUACUAUCUCCCCCGGUGUUAUGUGGAUGGAUUGUUAUCCGACCAUAACAUGCUGGAACCUAGCAUCUGUUUCUUAUCAUCUGGCUUUUUACUUACCGUAGACAGAAAUCUGGAGAUGUUACGAAAUUUGGUUAAAUCCAAGCGUCGUCUUUAAGGCACUCAUUAACAACAUCUAUCCACUCCUUCCACAAUUUUUCAUUGAAUCCUUCCUCAAUUUCUUACUUUCUGUGCAUCCUUGACUAUAAAUAGUUUAGUCCCAUCUUGAGAAAAUUCAUCCUUUCGAUUCUUUUAAUCGUAAGCUUUUUGAAAUUUGGGAGAUGAUUUCGUUUUCAUUUGUUUCUGUUUGUUGGUGUAUUGCAGGCGACCCUCAUGCAAGCCCAAGCCACCGUCAACAUACAAUGUGUCACCGUCAAGCUCGCUGUUCAGAAUCGUCAGCUGCAUCUUUGGUCAUUAAGGCGUUGAAAGAGCCUGAGCCAGACCGGCAAAAAAAAGUUAAGAACAUUACACACAAGAGUAAUAUUCCCUUCAAUUAGUUUAUUGAGAUUCUAUUGGAAAGAGCUGAGUGGGACAGUUAGGGAGAUUUGGGAAACAUGUGUCGUUGUUGAAUAUGCACGCACCGUUGAUGGAAAUGAUCCGAAUGAUCUUUAGCAGGAUAUUCAAGGUGAGAUCAAUAUUCAUAAUUACCAAGGUACUGAUGCUAUAAAUUGCUUUCUCCAGUGAACUAAUAUGAUCUACUAUGAGGUGAAUGAUUAUUUCUUCUCCUCUUCUUUCCAUGAAUCUUAUUUUAUAUAAGAUCUUAGAUGCCCAUUUAAAUACUUUAGAUUACAUAUUUUAUUGAGCUUCCGCCAUCAGAGGAGAAGCCACAAACCUCCGUAUGAUUAAUCACCUUGCUUAAAAAUACGGCUGAAGGGAUGAGUUAGAUGUAUGUGCAAGUAUCUAACCUUUUCUUUGCUUAUCUUAUUGAAUAUCAGACUCAUGUACGAGAUAGUAAAGAUUGUCUUUUUAUUUUAUAGUAUUGUGCAGAAGGAAACUUGCAACGCUGGAGAUGCAGAUGAAUGUAAAUCAAUGGAAGCUUAAAUCAGCAAACUGAAACAUACUUUUCCAAAGCUUGCUUUUGGAAAGAGUUGUGAGGUACCUUAAUCACUAGGCUUAGCGCUGAUGCAAAUUCUGGCCUUGCUACUAAUUUAAAAAAAGGUAAGAAAGUUGCACAAACUUACUUCAUUAUUCUUUCCUACACUUUUACUUUGCUGAUUAUCGAUUGAAAUGUCCACAAUUUCUGAAGCAUAUAUAGGGUUAUGUCACUAAUCUUUCCCUCUCUUUUAUCUGUGAACUGGCGAUGGAAGCUCCCUUUUUGUCUGGGUUAUAACAGAAACUUGAGAAGCUCCAAGAACAGAAGCUCAUAGAGAAGCUAUUUCAGCCGGAGGAGAUGAAAAUUUGGUCUCUAUAACUUGGAACAAAAUGAAGAUCAUAGUCACGGUUAAAAAUGUUAAUUUUGCUUUCGGGUAUAAGGUGAGCUACUACUAACUUGAAUUAAAAUCAGGACAAAGGAUAUUGCUUAUGUUUGACCCUGUCAAAAAGUGUGUUAUUGCAAACCAGAUGUGUUCAGAAUAACUUUUUCAGUUACUUCACUUUUAUACACGGCUCUUAUUCAUGCA